rnacentral:rRNA from 1 species
ACGAACGCUGGCGGCGUGCUUAACACAUGCAAGUCGAACGAUGAAGCCGCUUCGGUGGUGGAUUAGUGGCGAACGGGUGAGUAACACGUGGGCAAUCUGCCCUGCACUCUGGGACAAGCCCUGGAAACGGGGUCUAAUACCGGAUACGACCUUCUGAGGCAUCUCAGAAGGUGGAAAGCUCCGGCGGUGCAGGAUGAGCCCGCGGCCUAUCAGCUUGUUGGUGGGGUAAUGGCCUACCAAGGCGACGACGGGUAGCCGGCCUGAGAGGGCGACCGGCCACACUGGGACUGAGACACGGCCCAGACUCCUACGGGAGGCAGCAGUGGGGAAUAUUGCACAAUGGGCGAAAGCCUGAUGCAGCGACGCCGCGUGAGGGAUGACGGCCUUCGGGUUGUAAACCUCUUUCAGCAGGGAAGAAGCGAGAGUGACGGUACCUGCAGAAGAAGCACCGGCUAACUACGU